rnacentral:lncRNA from 1 species
GUCUUGUCUUUUCUUUUUUUUUUUCCCCCUUAGAGAAAAAUGACAGAGAUCCACUCUCUAAGAAAUUACACUGUGUUCAAUGACUUCCCGUCAGGAGUAGGCAAUGUCCCGCAUCCUGCUAUUGCUUUUCAAGUCGUGUCUGCCGAAAACCACAUCUGGUUAGCCACCGCUCCACAGACACACAGUGAAAUACAAAGGUGAAUUCAGCAGUGUGCAGCAGCCACAGCUCUUUCCCCAGAGACUUCCAGACAGAGAGAAGUCAGUAGAUGAUCCUGGGGAGGAGAGGAGUGCCCAGGAGGACUGUUAGUCCUCGUGAACCCGGCAAAGAUAUGGAGUAAGAGUGAAUGGCGGCCCAGGGCGGGCUGAGAUGCUUU